GUACACAUAUGUAAAUGUAUGUAUAUGUAGACGUACCGUACGGGUGUUUAGCGUCGGCCAUAUGAGCAGACAGCUUGGCAAAAUAUAUUUCGAUUAAAAUACAAACCAAAUUGGACUGGACAGAGCUUUGACACAAAAACUAAAUUGCCUGCCAAGUGUCCCCGCCGUCGAAAUUCACAAGGAGAAAGAAGCAAAGAUAAGAGCCCCUAUCGGCGCCAGAUAGCGCGGAUCCAUUACCCAUUGGAAGAUGCGAUCCAAGAAAAGAGCAAAGAAAAACACUUGCAAAAAUUAGCAGCAACGCCGGCAGUGGCAGUGCCUGUGGCAGUGACUGCUGUAGCAGCAGCUGACGGACACCGGCAGCGGUCGGGAGGAGGCCGUGCAUCUAUAAAUAGGAGUCGAACACUUUGUGCGCGUGACAGCUGUGAAAACGGCAGGGGGCCGGCGGCAGUGGCAGUGGCAGCCACAGAGAUGGCAGCUAUGACGUCAUUGGCUGGAUAAGUGAUUGCGUUCGGAAACGUCACGGAUGCGGUACAAACUGGUCCGGCCAGGCCAAUAAACCACAUAUCGCGUAUACCCGUUCCCCGCAUAUACAGUUGUAUGUAGAGAUGUAUAUACGUGGAUCUGGCAUAAUGAGAGCGCCAGACAAACGGGAAGAAAACGAAUGCCGAGCAGCGGCCGCAUCACCUGAAGCAGCACCCGCAUCAAGAGCAACAGCAACAGCGAUAGCAACAUGCAAAGAGGCAGCCAGAGCAGCAGUAGCAGCAUCAACAACAGUAGCAUCGGCAGCAGAGCAGCCAUGAGAAUCGCGAGAAAGCACAUCAAGAAGAAGGAGAGUCGUCGUGGCGAAAAAGACAAAAGUUGCUAAAAAUCAAAAUAUUUCAGUGCUCACAGCUGCUCUAGAAUCAGUCUAAAUUCGUCGUCGAUCGGCAGCAACGAGUGUGCUGUGGUGAGCCCCAGUUCCACAAAAGCGCGCGCGCUUCUAUCUGUAUCUGUAUCUGUGUGUGUUUGUGUUUGUGCGUAAGUGUGUGUGCGUGAAAAAAGGAAACGGAAGUGGAAGUCGAAUUGAAAGGGGAAUUGAAAGUACAAGUGUACACAACCACCACCACCGGCAUUAGCAGCAGCACAAGCUGAAACGACUCAAACGAGCAUUCAACGACACUGAACCCCAGCGUUAAUUUACCAAUAAAAUCAAGCCAAACUGCUGCAAAAAUCUGUGCGUAAACAUUCAAAUAGCUACCUUCCUUGUGCUUAAAUAUAUUCUACAAUUGAACAGAAUACUGAAAUGCCGACCACAGAGCGUCAAACAAAUGCAAUUGUGAUGCUUUAACCAUUAACGAAUUUCCAUUC